UGGGAAGUGGCUGCAUCGUUCCCUCUGGUCUUGCUCUUGCUGGUGGUCGUGGUGACAGGACCUGGCAGCAAGUGGCGGGCGGCUUCCGGGUUGUGAACCAGAGUUGGUGCCUCUGUUUGCCGGCUUUCCCAGAGACCAAGUGCUCCAGUUCCUGAAGACAAGUGGAAGACCAACGGUGGAAGCGACAUUUUGGAUACAAGACAUGAACAAGUGCCCUCAGUGGUAUAGAAGAAAUGGAAAUGGAAACUCUGCUCACCUGGCAUUAAAUUUAGGUGUUUCUCAGCAUCUUUGGCAUUUGGAGCAAAAAGCUCCUGAAAAAGUGGAGGUCCAAAUCAUUCUCCGGAUAGGGGUGACCAUGGUCUGUAUCAUGUGUCACCUUUCUGCUGCUGCUCCUCCCACCCCAAGUCUUCACUGAGAGCUGCCU